GUGCUGGUUUCAGCAGCAUAUAUGCUAAAAUUGAAAUGAUACAGAGAAAAUGAGCAUGGCCUCUGCACAAGGAAGACAAACAAAUUCACGAAGCAUUCUGCAUUUGU